GACGAACGCUGGCGGCGUGCUUAACACAUGCAAGUCGAACGGUGAAGCGCCUUCCUUUUUGGUGGGUGUGGAUGAGUGGCGAACGGGUGAGUAACACGUGAGUAACCUGCCCCCUUCUUCUGGAUAACCGCAUGAAAGUGUGGCUAAUACGGGAUAUUCUGGGUCUGUCGCAUGAUGGGUCUGGGAAAGAUAUUGUUUCGGUGGGGGAUGGGCUCGCGGCCUAUCAGCUUGUUGGUGGGGUGAUGGCCUACCAAGGCGGUGACGGGUAGCCGGCCUGGGAGGGUGGACGGUCACACUGGGACUGAGGCACGGCCCAGACUCCUACGGGAGGCAGCAGUGGGGAAUAGUGCACAAUGGGCGCAAGCCUGAUGCAGCGACGCCGCGUGAGGGAUGGAGGCCUUCGGGUUGUGAACCUCUUUCGCCAGUGAAGCAGGCCUGCCUCGUUUGUGGGUGGGUUGACGGUAGCUGGAGAAGAAGCGCCGGCUAACUACGUG
rnacentral:rRNA from 1 species